CUUCCUGCCAAAUGUGGACUCCCCUAAUGAGCAACUUGGCUCUGAAGCUCCCAUCAGCCUGGGUGAGACUGUCUCCAAGCUGUACUGCAGUCUGAGGCUCUUCCUACCAAAUUCACUUUGCUGUUCCUUUAUUCCCAACUUUGGGAGGCUUUUACCAGCUCCUUCUCCUUUUUAUGUUUACCUUCACCGACCUUUCCCCUAAGAAAUACUGUCUGAAGUACUUUCUUCUUGGCAUAUUCUUCUCAAAGGACUCAAGUGUGACUAACCCUUUAGAGUACAGAAUGAAGAUCCAAGCUACAUGCUGAAAACGAGAAAAAUGCCAGUCACCCCAACCUUCAGCAGCCAGCACCCUGACCAGGCAGUGGUCAUCAACAUUGAAGCAAGACUUUCCACUAGCAAAAAGAUUACAACUUGUUGAAGGCUCAGAUGAUUCUUAGCAUUUUUUAGCAACAAAAAAUUU
rnacentral:lncRNA from 1 species